CACGAAACUGUAUGAGCUAACUAAAAUUGAAACUAUGUUGCAAAAUAGAUAAGGAGUUAUAGUUAGGGGUGAAAGGCCUUUCAAACGCAGUGAUAUCUUGAUUUUCCCGAAAAGUAUUGAGUACAUCAAAUAAUUUAGAGCGAUAAGGUUUUAAAUAAUUAUUAAAUAUAAUUAGUUGGACAUGCUGAUAUAAAAGUCUACAAAAAAGUAAAAUAAUAUUUAUUAUUUAAAAUUAUGGUAUGUAGGGAAAUAUUUGUUAACUUAGUUCCGAAUUAAUAAUGUUAAUAUUAGUAAUUAAGGUAUCAAUAGUGAACUUGGCAUUAAGCUUUCAACUGUUUAUCAAAAACAUAGCUGUGUGUAGUAUACGCAGUAAUUUCUGCUCAAUGAAACAUUUAAAUAGCCGCAGUACCCUGACUGUGCAAAGGUAGCGUAAUCAAUUGUCUUUUAAUUAAAGACGAGUAUGAAGGAAUAUAUGGGGGCUUUCUUUACCAUUGGUAGUAACAGAAUUUACUUAUCGAGUGAAAAUACUCGUAGAUAAAUAAUAGACGAGAAGACCCUUGAAAUUUUGAACAUUUUUUUGUUGGGGCAACAUAGUAGCAGAUAACCUACUGGAAUUAACUAGAAAUUAUGUGGUGUGAUUAAAUUACUCUAGGGAUAACAGCAUAAUUUAAAAUUGUUUGUGACCUCGAUGUUGGAUUAGGGAAUUGUCGCUUAGAA
rnacentral:rRNA from 1 species